rnacentral:rRNA from 1 species
GACGAACGCUGGCGGCGUGCUUAACACAUGCAAGUCGAGCGGUGAGGCUCCUCCGGGGGUACAAGUGCGGAACAAGGGAGUAUAACACGUGAGACCUCCGCCCAUCACUUCGGUAAAACUCCGGGAAACCGACGCUUAUACCGAAUACGACCAUUCCCGGCAGCGGCUGGUGGUGGAAAGUUCCGGCGGUGAGGGAUGCGCUCGCGCCCUAUCAGCUUGUUGGUGGGGUAACGCCCCACCAAGGCUUCGACGGGUAGCCGGCCUGAGAGGGUGACCGGCCACACUGGGACUGAGACACGGCCCAGACUCCUACGGGAGGCAGCAGUGGGGAAUAUUGAACAAUGGGCGAAAGCCUGACCCAGCAACGCCGCGUGGGGGAUGACGGCCUUCGGGUUGUAAACCUCUUUCAGCAGGGACGAAGCGCAAGUGACGGUACCUGCAGAAGAAGCACCGGCCAACUACGUG